rfam:Bacteroidetes bacterium 4572_128 ex4572_128_scaffold_20951, whole genome shotgun sequence.
UAGAAAAGGGCAAGUCUUGUACGACCAGCUCCUACUAAAUUCCCCCAGGACUUGAUGGUAGCAAGGGUAAGUGGUUGAGCGGUGCGAAACAAGUAACUUGUCUUUUU